AGUGAACGCUGGCGGUAGGCCUAACACAUGCAAGUCGAACGGCAGCACAGUAAGAGCUUGCUCUUACGGGUGGCGAGUGGCGGACGUGUGAGGAAUACAUCGGAAUCUACUUUUUCGUGGGGGAUAACGUAGGGAAACUUACGCUAAUACCGCAUACGACCUACGGGUGAAAGCAGGGGAUCUUCGCACCUUGCGCGAUUGAAUGAGCCGAUGUCGGAUUAGCUAGUUGGCGGGGUAAAGGCCCACCAAGGCGCCGAUCCGUAGCUGGUCUGAGAGGAUGAUCAGCCACACUGGAACUGAGACACGGUCCAGACUCCUACGGGAGGCAGCAGUGGGGAAUAUUGGACAAUGGGCGCAAGCCUGAUCCAGCCAUACCGCGUGGGUGAAGAAGGCCUUCGGGUUGUAAAGCCCUUUUGUUGGGAAAGAAAAGCAGCAGGUUAAUACCCAGCUGUUCUGACGGUACCCAAAGAAUAAGCAACGGCUAACUUCGUG
rnacentral:rRNA from 1 species